rnacentral:lncRNA from 1 species
CAGGAGAUAUGAGCCGCGUUUGUUCAAAAUCGUGGCAACCGCAAGUGGUUAUGAGUGGUUCCAAACGGCGGUUCCAAUCUGCCGAACAUGGUCCUCCAAAUCCGGAGAAGAUGGCCAAUCAUGCAAUAACAACAACUGAACGCAAGGGCAAAUCUAUAAAUAGGCCUGUAGUACCCUGAAAACAGGUCUUCGCCCCUGCGCACAAAAGACCACCUUUAUUUUCCUGCACCUUUCUUUCCUGCAUUUAUCGCUUUU